AGUGUAGGCGGUUUUGUAAGAUAGCGGUGAAAUGCCGGGGCUCAACCUCGGAAUUGCCGUUAUAACUAUGAGACUAGAAUGAUAGAGAGGAUGGCGGAAUACCCAGUGUAGAGGUGAAAUUCGUAGAUAUUGGGUAGAACACCGGUGGCGAAGGCGGCUAUCUGGCUAUAAAUUGACGCUGAGGCUCGAAAGCAUGGGGAUCAAACA
rnacentral:rRNA from 1 species